UCCGUAGGUGACAAGCGUUGUCCGGAUUUACUGGGCGUAAAGAGCGCGCAGGCGGUCGAUCAAGUCGAGUGUGAAAGCCCCCGGCUCAACUGGGGAGGGUCAUUCGAUACUGAUCGACUCGAAGGCAGGAGAGGGUAGUGGAAUUCCCGGUGUAGUGGUGAAAUGCGUAGAUAUCGGGAGGAACACCAGUGGCGAAGGCGACUACCUGGCCUGUUCUUGACGCUGAGGCGCGAAAGCUAGGGGAGCAAACGGG
rnacentral:rRNA from 1 species